UACAGAGGGGGCAAGCGUUGUUCGGAAUUACUGGGCGUAAAGGGCGCGUAGGCGGCCUGUUAAGUCGAACGUGAAAUCCCCGGGCUCAACCCGGGAACUGCGUCCGAUACUGGCAGGCUUGAAUCCGGGAGAGGGAUGCGGAAUUCCAGGUGUAGCGGUGAAAUGCGUAGAUAUCUGGAGGAACACCGGUGGCGAAGGCGGCAUCCUGGGCCGGCAUUGACGCUGAGGCGCGAAAGCCAGGGGAGCAAACGGG
rnacentral:rRNA from 1 species